rnacentral:rRNA from 1 species
GGGGGACCUGCGGAAGGAUCAUUACAGUAUUCUUUUGCCAGCGCUUAACUGCGCGGCGAAAAACCUUACACACAGUGUCUUUUUGAUACAGAACUCUUGCUUUGGUUUGGCCUAGAGAUAGGUUGGGCCAGAGGUUUAACAAAACACAAUUUAAUUAUUUUUACAGUUAGUCAAAUUUUGAAUUAAUCUUCAAAACUUUCAACAACGGAUCUCUUGGUUCUCGCAUCGAUGAAGAACGCAGCGAAAUGCGAUAAGUAAUAUGAAUUGCAGAUUUUCGUGAAUCAUCGAAUCUUUGAACGCACAUUGCGCCCUCUGGUAUUCCAGAGGGCAUGCCUGUUUGAGCGUCAUUUCUCUCUCAAACCCCCGGGUUUGGUAUUGAGUGAUACUCUUAGUCGGACUAGGCGUUUGCUUGAAAAGUAUUGGCAUGGGUAGUACUGGAUAGUGCUGUCGACCUCUCAAUGUAUUAGGUUUAUCCAACUCGUUGAAUGGUGUGGCGGGAUAUUUCUGGUAUUGUUGGCCCGGCCUUACAACAACCAAACAAGUUUGACCUCAAAUCAGGUAGGAAUACCCGCUGAACUUAAGCAUAUCAAAAGUCGGGAGGAA